rnacentral:rRNA from 1 species
AGUGAACGCUGGCGGUAGGCCUAACACAUGCAAGUCGAACGGCAGCACAGUAAGAGCUUGCUCUUACGGGUGGCGAGUGGCGGACGGGUGAGGAAUACAUCGGAAUCUACUUUUUCGUGGGGGAUAACGUAGGGAAACUUACGCUAAUACCGCAUACGACCUACGGGUGAAAGCAGGGGAUCUUCGGACCUUGCGCGAUUGAAUGAGCCGAUGUCGGAUUAGCUAGUUGGCGGGGUAAAGGCCCACCAAGGCGACGAUCCGUAGCUGGUCUGAGAGGAUGAGCAGCCGCACUGGAGCUGAGACGAGGUCCAGACUCGUACGGGAGGCGGCAGUGGGGAUGAGUGGACAAUGGGCGCAAGUCGGAUCCAGCCAUACGGGGUGGGUGAAAAAGGCCUUCGGGUUGAAAAGCCAUUUUGUUGGGAAAGAAAAGCAGCAGGUUAAUACCCCGCUGUUCUGACGGGACCCAAAGAAUAAGCACCGGCUAACUUCGUG